rnacentral:misc_RNA from 1 species
AACGCACAUUGCGCCCCUUGGUAUUCCAUGGGGCAUGCCUGUUCGAGCGUCAUUUGUACCUUCAAGCUUUGCUUGGUGUUGGGUGUUUGUCUCGCCUCUGCGUGUAGACUCGCCUUAAAACAAUUGGCAGCCGGCGUAUUGAUUUCGGAGCGCAGUACAUCUCGCGCUUUGCACUCAUAACGACGACGUCCAAAAAGUACUUUUUACACUCUUGACCUCGGAUCAGGUAGGGAUACCCGCUGAACUUAA